GCAUGGUUGGUUUAGUGGCAUAAUUACCGCCUGCCACCCCUGGCUGACCGCGGUAAACCCGGGUUCGAUUCCCGGACCAUGCA